rnacentral:lncRNA from 1 species
UAGAACGGUCGAAUAAGUCCUGAGCUCUAGCAUGAACAAAUGCUAUCUGAUCUCUAGGUGGAGGCCCUACUGGAAUCUCCUAGCCUUCCUGCCCUCAUCCAACAACAUCUCAGGGGAGUAUCGGCCCAACUCCAGGAACUUACGUGCAUAUUCUGACACAAUCAUGUUCCCUUAGACCAAUUGGACGAACUCCAUCUCCUUCAGAUGUCGGAGGAGAUCUAGGAGGUACUCUGUAUGAAAGGCUGCUAGGAACUGUUCCCAAGUAACUGGAAUAGGUAGGGUGGUCUAUUUGAGUUCCCACUAGCGGUCUGCUUCUCCCACUAGCAUGUAGGUAGCAAGGGUGACCUU